CAGUAGCCGCGGGAAUACGUAGGUGGCAAGCGUUGUCCGGAAUUAUUGGGCGUAAAGGGCUCGCAGGCGGUUUGUUAAGUCUGAUGUGAAAGCCCCCGGCUCAACCGGGGAGGGGCAUUGGAAACUGGGAAACUUGAGUGCAGAAGAGGAGAGUGGAAUUCCACGUGUAGCGGUGAAAUGCGUAGAGAUGUGGAGGAACACCAGUGGCGAAGGCGACUCUCUGGUCUGUAACUGACGCUGAGGAGCGAAAGCGUGGGGAGCGAACAGGAUUAGAUACCCCGGUAGUCCCUGUCUCUUAUAA
rnacentral:rRNA from 1 species